rnacentral:tRNA from 1 species
GCGAGAGUGGCGGAAUUGGUAGACGCACCAGACUUAGGAUCUGGCGGCAUAGCCUUGGGGGUUCGAGUCCCCCCUCUCGCACCA